UGGGGGAUAUUGCACAAUGGGCGAAAGCCUGAUGCAGCGACGCCGCGUGGGGGAUGAAGGCUUUCGGGUUGUAAACCUCUUUCGCUAUCGAACAAGGCCCGCUUAGGGUGGGUUGAGGGUAGGUGGAGAAGAAGCGCCGGCUAACUACGUGCCAGCAGCCGCGGUAAUACGUAGGGCGCGAGCGUUGUCCGGAAUUAUUGGGCGUAAAGGGCUUGUAGGCGGCUUGUUGCGCCUGCUGAAAACGCGGGGCUUAACUUCGCGCGUGCAGUGGGUACGGGCAGGCGUGAGUGUGGUAGGGGUGACUGGAAUUCCAGGUGUAGCGGUGGAAUGCGCAGAUAUCUGGAGGAACACCGAUGGCGAAGGCAGGUCACUGGGCCAUUACUGACGCUGAGGAGCGAAAGCAUGGGUAGCGAACAGG
rnacentral:rRNA from 1 species